GUAUUGGCCUACCGUGGCAAUGACGGGUAACGGGGAAUUAGGGUUCGAUUCCGGAGAGGGAGCCUGAGAAACGGCUACCACAUCUAAGGAAGGCAGCAGGCGCGCAAAUUACCCAAUCCUAAUACAGGGAGGUAGUGACAAGAAAUAACAAUACAGGACUUUUUGGUUUUGUAAUUGGAAUGAGUUAAGUAUAAACCCCUUUACAAGUAUCAAUUGGAGGGCAAGUCUGGUGCCAGCAGCCGCGGUAAUUCCAGCUCCAAUAGCGUAUAUUAAAGUUGUUGCAGUUAAAAAGCUCGUAGUUGGAUUUCUGUUAAUAAUUUAUAUAAAAUAUUUUGAUGAAUAUUUAUAUAAUAUUAACAUAAUUCAUAUUACUAUAUAUUUUAGUAUAUGAAAUUUUACUUUGAGAAAAUUAGAGUGCUUAAAGCAGGCAUAUGCCCUGAAUACUCCAGCAUGGAAUAAUAUUAAAGAUUUUUAUCUUUCUUAUUGGUUCUAAGAUAAGAAUAAUGAUUAAUAGGGACAGUUGGGGGCAUUUGUAUUUAA
rnacentral:rRNA from 1 species